rnacentral:tRNA from 1 species
GCCUGGCUGGCUCAGUUGGUAGAGCAUGCAACUCUUGAUCUCAGGGUUGUAAGUUCAAG